CCCGGCGUAGCCCAAUGCAGAGGCAACGAGCUCAGACCUCAUCCAGUGCAGGUGCGAGUCCUGCCGCCAGGACCA
rnacentral:tRNA from 1 species